CCUGAACUGCUGGUCCAAUUCAGCCAGAUGAUGCAAGUCCCAUAGCCAACCCAAAGCAGGAGCAAAAAAAGUCUUUCAGCGCAGGUUCCUGAGGCCUCCCCAGCCAUGCCUCCUGUAUAGCCUGUGGAACUGAGUCAAUUAAAACUCUCUUUUAAAUAAAUUA